UACAGAGGUCUCAAGCGUUGUUCGGAUUCAUUGGGCGUAAAGGGCGCGUAGGCGGCGGGGUAAGUCGGGUGUGAAAUCUCAGAGCUCAACUCUGAAAUGGCACUUGAUACUGCUCUGCUAGAGGACUGGAGAGGAGAUUGGAAUUCACGGUAUAGCAGUGAAAUGCGUAGAUAUCGUGAGGAAGACCGGUGGCGAAGGCGGAUCUCUGGACAGUUACUGACGCUGAGGCACGAAGGCCAGGGGAGCAAACGGG
rnacentral:rRNA from 1 species